ACGCCAAGAAUCCAUUGGGACACGAUAUCUUGACCUUUGACGUUAAUGUUGAAGGUCCGCCGGUGAGGACGACUGCAGCACCAGAUAUCCAAACUCCAUCAUCUUCACCAAAAUCAGAUUUCCAAACCCCAUCAUCCUCACCAACAUCAUGGGGUUCAAGUCUCGCCGGAUGGAUAAUUACAAUAGUGAUCAAUCCACUUUUGGUAGUCAUAAUAAUAAUAUUAAUAAUAAUCAUUUGCAUUCUCAAGAAAAAAAGGAGUUCGCCAAACCGGCAUUUAAAUAGGCUGUUCUGGAGAUGCCUUUCUAAUAGUUAGUAUAGCUGUAAAUUGUAACAAACUAUUUUACUGCUAUUUCCGAAUAUUUUACGAAAAGUGUGAAAAGUCAUUUUUUCACCUGUCAAAAGAUAAUAGAAUUGUAAAUUGAAACGGACAAUUUUACUUCUAUUUUCCAAAUAUUUUGAGAAAAGUGUGAAAUGCAUUUUUUCUCGUCUAUAUUUAGUAAUCUGUUCAUUAGCUCUCGUUAAGAGAUUAUGAACUAUCUGUAUUCUCUGCCCUUGUCUUACAUUAUCCAUUUUUACUAAGGAAAAUACAAAUAAUGCGCGAAUCAGGUGCAAAUGUGAAUGGAUAAUUGGGCUUAGUGGACUGCAAUUUCUGUUGAACUGAGUGGAGUGCAGUUUGGUCUGAAAUCAUCCGCGUGAUUUCAUAAACUCGCAGCGCGAGUUUGAUUGAAAUCACAAGUAUGAUUUCAUAUCAAAA